GACGAACGCUGGCGGCGUGCCUAAUACAUGCAAGUAGAACGCACAGGAUGCACCGUAGUUUACUACACCGUAUUCUGUGAGUUGCGAACGGGUGAGUAACGCGUAGGUAACCUGCCUGGUAGCGGGGGAUAACUAUUGGAAACGAUAGCUAAUACCGCAUAAGAACAUUUACUGCAUGGUAGAUGUUUAAAAGGUGCAAGAGCAUCACUACCAGAUGGACCUGCGUUGUAUUAGCUAGUUGGUGAGGUAACGGCUCACCAAGGCAACGAUACAUAGCCGACCUGAGAGGGUGAUCGGCCACACUGGGACUGAGACACGGCCCAGACUCCUACGGGAGGCAGCAGUAGGGAAUCUUCGGCAAUGGGGGGAACCCUGACCGAGCAACGCCGCGUGAGUGAAGAAGGUUUUCGGAUCGUAAAGCUCUGUUGUUAAGGAAGAACGUGUGUGAGAGUGGAAAGUUCACACAGUGACGGUACUUAACCAGAAAGGGACGGCUAACUACGUGCCAGCAGCCGCGGUAAUACGUAGGUCCCGAGCGUUGUCCGGAUUUAUUGGGCGUAAAGCGCGUCUAGGUGGUUAUGUAAGUCUGAUGUGAAAAUGCAUGGCUCAACUCUGUAUUGCGUUGGAAACUGUAUAACUAGAGUACUGGAGAGUUAAGCGGAACUACUAGUGUAGAGGUGAAAUUCGUAGAUAUUUGGAGGAAUGCCGAUGGGGAAGCCAUCUUACUGGACAGAUACUGACUCUGAAGCGCGUAAAUCGUGUGUAGCAACCGGAGUAUAUACCCUGUGAUGUCUAGGGGCUAUUCCACAUUGUGUAUUAUGCUUAUCGAUACCGUCGACGCGAGGGUGGGUCCAAGUAUACAUCUUUUUGUUCCCUUUAUUAGUGUUUUUUAUG
rnacentral:rRNA from 1 species